UCACAACAUGUUCACUUAGAUUUUUACGUUAUGAUACAUGUCCACUUUAUCGACUGUAUCUAAAAAUAUAAAUUUUAAAUGUAAAUGAAGAUAUGAAAUAAUACUAUAUAACAUACAAUAGCUUAAAUUAUAUUAUUGUAUAUAUUAAGUCACAAAAUCAGUGUCAGCUGACUCUGUCAACUAGGUUGCCUGUAGGGAGUUUUAAUGUCCAGCAGGUGUCAGUAUUCAGUGACACAGUAUCGACACAGUAUCAAUACAGUUUUGCAAUGUGUUGAAACGUUUCAUGACGCCUCAUCUACCCAUCACUAGCCGAUACUGACAGGGAACAGCUGAUGAUAUGACGUUUAGCAGGAAGUCCUUUUAACAUAAAACAGGAAAUGAAACUGGAACAAAACCUGGGUGACAACAAAGUCCUUUCAACACAACACCAGAACAAGAAAGAAUAAACCAGAUCGUGACAAAUUCAAACAGCCAACAGAAGGAAGGCAGAGGCUAGAACAACUGGUGGAGUACCUGCUCCACCACCAUUGACGCAUGCAGAGGAGAAGGCCCUCAGCCUGAACACUGGAAAGCAGGGGCUGAAGGAAUUCCUGGAGGGAGUUCAUCAGAACCAGUCACUCCCCAGGAUACAAGUGCAUUUGUAAAAUAUUCUGAUGGUAAUAUAUGAAUCCUCCUGUCACAACAGAAUCCCAGGUUGUUGUGAGUAUCAUACUAAAUAAAGCUUAAAUUAUGAUAAGCAGUAUUAUAAAGUGUAAUAUUAAUACAGUUUAUACACAGCACAUGAUUUCUGAUGUUUGUGUUGCGUAGCCUAAAGUAAGUAUAUAUAUAUAUUAUCUCUCCUCUGCCCCAGAGUGUGAAAGAACAGUAGGAGGAGGUCUGUCACACUCUGCUGCACAGAUGCACACAGUUCAAUUAUGUUCAGUAAACACCAGAGUUCAAUUCUGUAAGAGUAAUGAGGAACUAUGUCUUGUAACUCUAAAUCUUCUGUAUUUUAAGUUACUGGUUACAGAGUUGUAUAAACUAAAUCUCAAGGAAAUAUUAUACUUGUACCACAAGAUUGAAAAGACAGAUCUAGAAAUUGAAAUUCCCAAACACAAGCUGGAGAUGAGUGUAUAGUUAAAGGUGAAUUGUAUGAAUUAUUGGAAGAAUCAUAAAAUCUACUGUAACAAUUGCCUUUGUAUUUGUAGGAAAUGAAGAAAACCAAAAAAAUUAUGAUUUGCAUUUAUUCAGUUUCUUUUAUUGGUGGUGGUGAUGGUUUAGUAAAACAUUACGGCAAAUCACAUCUCUGAUUGUCCAUCCACUCAGAUUACCAUGGUGGAAGGAGUCUUCCUCAGGGUCUUGUAUUUGUAGGGCAGGGUGUUAUUCCCCUCUAAUAAUUGCAAUAAUGUGGAGAACAACGCAUACGCACGUCCCUAUAAUGUCACAGGCCUCUCAGGUGUUUCCCUGAGGUGACGUAGGCACUAAAGGCAUGCUUUCAACAGGCCUAUGGUCAUUUCCACCCGAGCUCUUGUUCUGCAGUGACACGUUAAAGCGCUGCUGGGGGCCUGCUUCAGGUUCUGGGUGAGGGGUCAGUAGUGUGGGCCUUCAUGGGUAACCCCCAUCUCCAGCAGAAAGCUGUCAAUCUCUCCUAGAAGAAAGUUCACAUUACUUUGGUGCUGCAUAGAAGUGCUCCUGUGAGUGUGUAGUGUAUGCAUUGAAAUAAGUGUAUAGGACAUACAUGUACUUACCACAGUGCAGCCUGUUACUUAGGGUUGACUCACAAUAUAUUCAUAUUAUAUUCAGAGUUCACGUUUAUGAUAUGUGCAGCAUCACAUAUGAUCUUGGUGAUGUAAACAAUGUAAUGUCAGUUACAGUGACCAUUCGAAAGAGUAGUCAGUGUACCUGCACAUUUAUCAGUUUAUUUCAGAUCACAGCAAGAUAUUAUUAACUGAUCAUCAUUUUUCAGAUUAGCCUCAAUGAAACAAAUUAAUUACCACAUACCUGCAAUCCUGUGAAACUCCUCUUUAAUGGCUUUAAGGAGUUUGUGUCAAGGAAAGCGCUUG